CAGCAGCCACGGUAAUGCGUAGGGUGCGAGCGUUAAUCGGAAUUACUGGGCGUAAAGCGUGCGCAGGCGGUUGUGUAAGACAGGUGUGAAAUCCCCGGGCUUAACCUGGGAACUGCGCUUGUGACUGCACAGCUAGAGUAUGGCAGAGGGGGGUGGAAUUCCACGUGUAGCAGUGAAAUGCGUAGAGAUGUGGAGGAACACCGAUGGCGAAGGCAGCCCCCUGGGCCAAUACUGACGCUCAUGCACGAAAGCGUGGGGAGCAAACAGGAUUAGAUACCCCCGUAGUCCCUGUCUCUUAUAC
rnacentral:rRNA from 1 species